AUAUGCUGGAUUUCAUAUCACAAAAUCACAAGUCGAACACUUCCCAAGUGUCUAGGACUGUGUGAUGUAUUUUCGGAUGAUGCGUGCAGAUCCCAGUAGGGUGGCCUUUUGCAGUUGGCAGAUCGUAAUUUUGUCAAUGUCUGUUGUUUCCAAAUGCCGGCUGAGAUCUUUUGGCCACAUAGUUGUGCACGGCACCCAGUGUGCCCAUCACCACCGGGACCACCUGCACUGGUUUCUGCCAGAGUCUUUGGAGUUCAAUCUUGAGGUCCUGAUAGCGGCUGAGUUUUUCCUGUUGUUUUUCGUCAAUGCGACUGUCACCUGGGAUGGCAACAUCAAUGAUCCAAACCUUGUUCUUUUCCACAACUGUGAUGUCUGGUGUGUUGUGUUCCAGAACUUUGUCAGUCUGGAUUCGGAUAUUAUUAUUAUUAUUAUUAUUAUUAUUAUUAUUAUUAUUAUUUAUUAUGACACAGCAAACAAGAUAGAUAUGCUGGAUUUCGUAUCACAAAAUCACAAGUCGAACACUUCCCAAGUGUAUUAUUAUUAUUAUUAUUAUUAUUAUUAUUAUUAUUAUUAUUAUUAUUAUGUUUCGGUGUGCACUUAAUUGUAGGAUAUUCCCAUUCUAUACCCUCAUUGGAGCUUCACUUUCUCUUCUCCAAGCUGAACUUCCCAAGCUCCUUAAGCUGAUGCUCAUAUAGAUUCCUGGCCUCCAAAGCACAAUACUAUUAUUUCUCUGGAUCUAGAAACUAUACUCGUAUUAAUGUCCAGGAUUGGACAUCCGUAGGGAUACCAAGGUGCUUGUUUAUAAAGCUAUUAUCCUCACAACCCCGUUAUGCACCUGCAAAACAUGGACCUGCUACAGAUAUCACACUCAACUCCUGGAACAAUUCCAUCAGCGUUGCCUCCAAAAAAUCCUGCAGAUCUCUUGGGAAGACAGGCGGACAAAUGUCGGCGUGCUGGAAGAAGCAAAGACCACCAGCACUGAAGCGAUGAUCCUACAAUAUCGGAAUGUUGGUGGGCAGGAAAAGAUAUUGAAAGGUGGGCUUAAACUAACCUUAAAAACUGUGGCAUAGACACUGAGAACUGGGAAGCCCUGGCCCUUGAGCACUCUAACUGGAGGUCAGCUGUGACCAGCAGUGCUGCUGAGUUCGAAGAGGCACGAAUGGAGGGUGAAAGGGAGGAACGUGCCAAGAGGAAGAAGGUAUGUCAAGCCAACCUUGAAUGGGAUUGCCUUCCACCUAGAAACCGAUGUCCUCACUUUUUAAGCUGUUGUCUUAUGCUCAGCUUGUGAUUGACCAAGACUCCUAUAAAAAUAAAUGCAUAGAUAUAGGAUGGACUGCUUUAAAGCUGGUAUCCCCGUCCUAUAUCUGUGCAUUUAACACACACACACACACACCCAACUGUAGUAUCUUGCAUUUAUCCCUGUUGAUAUUCAUUUUGUUUGUUAAUGAAUUCCUUGCCUGAUCUUGGAAGCUAAGCAGGGUCAGCUCUAGCUAGUCCUUGGAUGAGAGGCUGCCCACAUACGUCCUCAAAAAAGUUGAUAAUCUAUUAGGUCUUCAAUACUGUUUCUCGUUGAAUUCAUAAAUUGAUUCAUAUCACCAUGCUAGAAUUGAACGAAUGCUGAGGUUCCAACUGAAGUCCAGAACUUGCCCCUUUUGGUUAGGAAACUAUUGGCGGAAAGAUGAGAUGUUGCUGGGUGGACGGUUUUGUACAGGACAGGCUGUCCUCCUAUUGUCCUUCCUCCAGGACACUGGUCAGUUCAGUCCAGCCAUUGUGAUGACCUUGAAGCAGGAGGAGAGCACACCUGGGAGAAGAGAAAUUCCUCAAAGAGAGCCAAGAUCUGAAAAAUGUUUGUCUUGCAGUCCUGGAGAAAAUGGAAUCAUCCUGAAGACUUCUGGUACAUCAUGAGAAGGGCAGAUUCAGGUCAUCUGCAAAAGAUGCAGACAAUAGAAUCCUAGCGUCAGGGGAACCCCAAAGGCCAUCUAGUCCAACCCUAUUAUCCAUGCAGGGAGACACCAUCCAAGAACUCCCUACAGAUGGCCAUCCAGUCUCUGUUUAAAACCCUCCACUAUACUCUGAAGUAGUCUAUAUUACCCUAGUGUUGGAAGUCACCCUCAAAGGCCAUCUAGUCCAAUCCCCAUUCUGCCAGGCAGUAAGACACAAUCCAAGCCCUCCCAAUAGAUGGCCAUCCUACUUCAAAAUCCUCCAGAUAAUAAGACUCCACCAGAUUCUCAGUCCAUUAAAUUCCCACUAUGUUGGGGAUCCCCAAAAGCCAUCUAAUGUGACUCCAUUCUAUAUAAUGAGGACACCAUUCAAGCGUUCCCGACAGGCAACCAUCCAGGCUCUAGUUAAAAACCUCCAGAGAAGGAAUUGUAAAUAUGUAAGGAAAUUUUGGUAUAAAAUAUUUCAAGAGAUAAAGGAUAUAAUGAACAUCAAAUUGGAAAAAAGCCCUGGUAUUGCAUUAUUAUAAAUUUAUAAUAACAAUAAGAUGGAUAAAAAAAAGAAAAAGAAGCAAUAACUAAUUUAUUGACAAUAGCAAGACUUCUUAUAGCAAGGAACUGGAGAAAAGUAAUAAAUAUUCAGAUUGAAGAAUGGUAUAAGGAAGUAUGGAAACUGGCAAUAAAUGAUAAGCUAACAUGCAAAUUAAAAGUUAAAAGAGGGAUAUGGAAAAAAAUGAUUUUGAGGAAGUAUGGGGGAAAUUUAUUGAGAAAGGACUCCAAAAAAGGGAUGGAGGAAGAAAUGAGAUUUUGGUUAGACAAUACAUAAGAAGUGGCUCGGGGUAGGAGGGGGGAUAAACAGUGGUGAAGAAAUAUAGAUGGACAAAUGUUAACAUUGUAGUAGAUAUAAAUCAAUAGUAGAUAUAAAAGAAUAAUGCAAGUAUUGUAUGAUACAUUAUAUAUCUGCUAUGUGAUAAAAGUAAUUAUUGUAUGAAAAAUUUUAAAUUCAAUAAAAACUAUUUAAAAAGAAAAAAAAACCUCCAGAGAAGGGAGAAGACUCACUGGACUCCGAAAGCCAUAUAAGAUGAUGACUUCUACUUUUACGGAGAGCUUUAAUUAGAGGUUGGAUGGGCAUCUUUUGGGAGUGCUUCAUUUGGAAUUCUCGCAAAACAGAAUGGAGUUGGAAUAAUUGGCCUUUGAUGCCCCUUCAUUGAUAGUAUGGAGCCCCCGGUGGCGUAGUGGGUUAAAGCCUUGUGACUUGAAGGUUGGGUUGCUGGUUGGUUCUGAUCCAACCCAGGGAGAGUGUGGAUGAGCUCCCUCUAUCAGCUCCAGCUCCAUGCGGGGACAUGAGAGAAGCCUCCCACAAGGAUGGUAAAAAUAUCAAACAUCCGGGCAAUGUCCCCUGGGCAACGUCCUUGCAGAUGGCCAAUUCUCUCACACCAGAAGUAACUUGCAGUUUCUCAAGUUGCUGCUGACAUGAAAAAAAAAUGAUAGUAGAGCUCACU
ensembl:lncRNA